rnacentral:rRNA from 1 species
AAAUUGAAGAGUUUGAUCAUGGCUCAGAUUGAACGCUGGCGGCAGGCCUAACACAUGCAAGUCGAACGGUAACAGGAAGCAGCUUGCUGCUUUGCUGACGAGUGGCGGACGGGUGAGUAAUGUCUGGGAAACUGCCUGAUGGAGGGGGAUAACUACUGGAAACGGUGGCUAAUACCGCAUAACGUCGCAAGACCAAAGAGGGGGACCUUCGGGCCUCUUGCCAUCAGAUGUGCCCAGAUGGGAUUAGCUAGUUGGUGAGGUAACGGCUCACCAAGGCGACGAUCCCUAGCUGGUCUGAGAGGAUGACCAGCCACACUGGAACUGAGACACGGUCCAGACUCCUACGGGAGGCAGCAGUGGGGAAUAUUGCACAAUGGGCGCAAGCCUGAUGCAGCCAUGCCGCGUGUAUGAAGAAGGCCUUCGGGUUGUAAAGUACUUUCAGCGGGGAGGAAGGUGUUGUGGUUAAUAACCGCAGCAAUUGACGUUACCCGCAGAAGAAGCACCGGCUAACUCCGUGCCAGCAGCCGCGGUAAUACGGAGGGUGCAAGCGUUAAUCGGAAUUACUGGGCGUAAAGCGCACGCAGGCGGUCUGUCAAGUCGGAUGUGAAAUCCCCGGGCUCAACCUGGGAACUGCAUUCGAAACUGGCAGGCUUGAGUCUUGUAGAGGGGGGUAGAAUUCCAGGUGUAGCGGUGAAAUGCGUAGAGAUCUGGAGGAAUACCGGUGGCGAAGGCGGCCCCCUGGACAAAGACUGACGCUCAGGUGCGAAAGCGUGGGGAGCAAACAGGAUUAGAUACCCUGGUAGUCCACGCCGUAAACGAUGUCUACUUGGAGGUUGUGCCCUUGAGGCGUGGCUUCCGGAGCUAACGCGUUAAGUAGACCGCCUGGGGAGUACGGCCGCAAGGUUAAAACUCAAAUGAAUUGACGGGGGCCCGCACAAGCGGUGGAGCAUGUGGUUUAAUUCGAUGCAACGCGAAGAACCUUACCUGGUCUUGACAUCCACAGAACUUUCCAGAGAUGGAUUGGUGCCUUCGGGAACUGUGAGACAGGUGCUGCAUGGCUGUCGUCAGCUCGUGUUGUGAAAUGUUGGGUUAAGUCCCGCAACGAGCGCAACCCUUAUCCUUUGUUGCCAGCGAUUAGGUCGGGAACUCAAAGGAGACUGCCAGUGAUAAACUGGAGGAAGGUGGGGAUGACGUCAAGUCAUCAUGGCCCUUACGACCAGGGCUACACACGUGCUACAAUGGCGCAUACAAAGAGAAGCGACCUCGCGAGAGCAAGCGGACCUCAUAAAGUGCGUCGUAGUCCGGAUUGGAGUCUGCAACUCGACUCCAUGAAGUCGGAAUCGCUAGUAAUCGUGGAUCAGAAUGCCACGGUGAAUACGUUCCCGGGCCUUGUACACACCGCCCGUCACACCAUGGGAGUGGGUUGCAAAAGAAGUAGGUAGCUUAACCUUCGGGAGGGCGCUUACCACUUUGUGAUUCAUGACUGGGGUGAAGUCGUAACAAGGUAACCGUAGGGGAACCUGCGGUUGGAUCACCUCCUUACCU